rnacentral:rRNA from 1 species
UGCGGGGGGGGCAAGCGUUGUUCGGAAUUACUGGGCGUAAAGGGCUCGUAGGCGGCCAACUAAGUCGGAUGUGAAAUCCCCAGGCUUAACCUGGGAACUGCAUCCGAUACUGGAUGGCUUGAAUCCGGGAGAGGGAUGCGGAAUUCCAGGUGUAGCGGUGAAAUGCGUAGAUAUCUGGAGGAACACCGGUGGCGAAGGCGGCAUCCUGGACCGGUAUUGACGCUGAGGCGCGAAAGCCAGGGGAGCAAACGGG